AAAAGGCAAGAGUGAUGAAUCAAUUAGAUGUGUGAAUGGGAAUGUUCUCAUUUUGAACUCAAACUUUUGAGGCAUUAUAAUUUGUCUGACUUGCCAUUU